UGGCGGCGUGCCUAAUACAUGCAAGUAGAACGCUGAAGCUUGGUGCUUGCACCGAGCGGAUGAGUUGCGAACGGGUGAGUAACGCGUAGGUAACCUGCCUCUUAGCGGGGGAUAACUAUUGGAAACGAUAGCUAAUACCGCAUAAAAGUCGAUAUCGCAUGAUAUUGAUUUGAAAGGUGCAAAUGCAUCACUAAGAGAUGGACCUGCGUUGUAUUAGCUAGUUGGUGAGGUAACGGCUCACCAAGGCGACGAUACAUAGCCGACCUGAGAGGGUGAUCGGCCACACUGGGACUGAGACACGGCCCAGACUCCUACGGGAGGCAGCAGUAGGGAAUCUUCGGCAAUGGACGGAAGUCUGACCGAGCAACGCCGCGUGAGUGAAGAAGGUUUUCGGAUCGUAAAGCUCUGUUGUAAGAGAAGAACGAGUGUGAGAGUGGAAAGUUCACACUGUGACGGUAACUUACCAGAAAGGGACGGCUAACUACGUGCCAGCAGCCGCG
rnacentral:rRNA from 1 species